ACAGGCAUUUCUUGACUUGCUGUGUUUGGCUGACCAAGACUGCUUGAAGGUCCCGGGGUCCUUAGAGCUCACCCACCUAAGAGCUCAUCUAGUGUCCAGGAGUGAGAUCUGAGUAGGCUGAUGGGCUAGGAGGACAGCACCGGCGAGAGAAAAAGGGAGUGGAAGCGUCUCCUCCAGCCUGUUGAAGCUCCAGCAGCCUCGCCUUCCUGGAUUGGCAGGAGCAUCUGUGCCCUGCCCCUCUUCAGAAGAUGAUUUUACAUCCUAGUGUCUCUCCCAUUUUAAUGUUAGCUCCCCUUAAAAUGUAGAUCGGGAAGACACCAGAGAACAGAGUCUAAAGCAAGUAGCUGUACUUUCUGACUUUGCUCGUUCACAUGAGACUCCUUGCAGAGCUGUAGCCCUCGUGGUACAUGCGCCUUCAGGGCUGAGGUCUCCUCGGGGACAAAUUCACACCAUCUACCUGCUCUGAUUAUUUUUAUAAAGGCCAAUUCUUUAUAUACCCAUUGAGCAAUUGAACACUAAGCACUAAUCUUCCCCCCAAAACUCUUGAGUUUCAUUCUAUCACCUCAUUUUAAAACUGAGGACAUGUCUUAGCAGGUAUGUCUUCACAACAGAAGACUUAACAGUCAUAAACAGGAAGCCGGAUGGUUUGCAGAUGGUUCCAGUCUGAUGGACUGACUCCUCUGGACUUGGAGUAGCCCAGAGAAGACCCUAGUGGAAUGUUCUAGAAGAGUGUGUAGCCUAAGACCACAGUCCUUAAAAUAAUCACUUCCAGAUAAUAGGAAAUUCCUUCAAAAGGUGAGAUUCUAAUCAUGGAAGGCCUAUAAACACAGGAAUUGGAAGUAUGUCUGGGCAGAUAUCGAAUUCAGUUUCUGAGAAGACUUUUCAUAUCCAGGUGUUUUUCAAACCAUGUAACCAAUGGGCCAUGGUAUCGAUUUAAAGAAGCAGUGUUUGUAUUUUAAUAAUGAACUAGAACUCACUAAUGAUAUUAAAAGUUUAAAAUACUAAGC